GUAGCAACUGCAACCAAACAAAAGAAGUGUUGAGUAGCCAUGAGAAUGACCAAAAAGACGCUUGAGAGAACAAGAUCAAAAGGACGUUGAGAGACCGUCUCACUAUGAGGAUGAAGUAAUUGUGUUUACCAAGCCGACAAACUUGACAGUUUAAAGACAACACCCGAGAUAGAUACAAGAAAAUCACGUUGAGAGGUGAGGGACGAGAGCCAUACAAUUGACCGACGAUGAUGCCACAAAGAGUCGGUAGCCAAGUAAACAGACGAAGAAAAGAUAGCAACCGCAACCAAACAAAUGAAGCGUUGAGUAGUCACAAGAACGACUAAAAAGACGCUCGAGAGAAAUGUCACCCUGCGGAGCAGAGGAAGGGUGAAUAUUGAUGAGAUGGGUGGAAGUAGGAACAAUCUCAACCCAAAAGUGAGGUGGAAGAGAGGCGAUGAUCAUCGAUGCACGAGCUGCCUCAAGAAAGUGACGAUGCUUGCGCUCAUCAACACCAUUUUGAGCAUGAGCACUAGAAGAGAACUGACCAAGUGCGCCCUGCUCAGCGAGGAAUCCCACAACAAAUGAGAGAUAUACUCACGAGUAGAAUCUGCACGGAAGACAUUGAUGGGAGUGGAAAACUGGGUAUGAACCAUGGCGAUAAACUUCUCACCGAUAAGAUCUCACUACAAGAAGAUAUGAAAUAUAUCCAUGUGUGUUGGGAGUAAUCAUCUAUAAACAUAAUAUAGUAGUGAUGGCCUCCUUUCGAGGCGAAGGAAGCUGGACCCCAAACAUCAGAGUGAACAAGAUUGAAAGGAUGUUGAGACACCGCCUCACUAUGAGUAUAAAGUAACCGAACCUGUUUACCAAGCUGACAAACCUGAUAGUUUAAAGACACAACACUUGAGACAGAUCCAAGAAAACCACGUCGAACUAAGGACGAGGGAUGAGAGCCAUACAAGUGACCCACAAUGAUGCCACAUAGAGCCGGCAGCCGAGGAAACAUAGGUGAAGAGAGUAGCAGUGGUGGCAGCAAGGCAGGUGAAGCCAUUCAAGCUCCCGGAGGACCUGGGAGUCAUUGCACCGAGGGCCAACACAAAGUAGAGCACACGUGUGACGAUCCUAAUCUAAACAAGAGCCGAAGAUGAGGAUGACUACUCCUGAGUGAACAAUCUUACACUUGAAAUGAGCUACAUGGUAAGUCAAAGAACAUGACAACAAAGUGCUAAUAGUGCCUAGACUAUCAAAUGGGAGGGAAAGUACCAUCAGUAGUAAGAACAUGAACAUGAGAGUCUAAAGGUUUGAAUGGAGGACAAACCGGAAGAAGCAUGAGUCAUAUGAAAAGACUCUCCAAUAUCAAGGAUCCAUGGAAAGAUGUGCUUCCAGCCUAGAAAUGAGUUCAGUGCUCAACCUCAUGGUAGCACACUUAUAUGAUAAUUUUUGGACAUUUUGGCCUGAGGUGGCUGGGCUAGUUGGUGCCAAGGUGGUCGUGGAAAGAAAAUCGAGCUUGAACAGACCCGAUGUGUAAGGAGAAAGAUGAUUUUGACCCUUCCUUGGUCAUGACUUUGGUACGAAGCUUAUGAUUGCAGGCAACCCCGCGUCAGUCAAGGACCUGCCCUUGGCGCCAGGGGAAAGAAAGUGACAAGUCGUAUAGAAUACCAUGAGGGAAAACUGGGAUGAGCAGCUCAGCUCAGGGUUCCUAUUUGCAAGUUCAAGUGAAGAAAGAAAGAGGAUGACGAGGGCGUGCUGCUCCUGACAUCAUUUUCAUUGCUUCCUCAUACCUCCCUAUUUGCAAGUUCAUGUGAAGAAAAGACAGGAUGGCAAGGGCGUGCCGCUCUUGACAGCGUUUUCAUUGCAUCCCCAUAACUCUCAUGCACUCUCCAUUUCUUGCCGAUCCGACUUAGCGUUCUUCCCGUGUUUGUGGGUUGUGUGUCACGGACUUGGUUCCGCAUUCCACGUUCCCUUGUUGGUCGUCCCUGGCCUUGGCGACAGGUAGCGUCGUGCUCCUGGGCGCUAUGCGUCCUCGCGUAAGACGGAGACGGUGCCGACUGCUCGUGCUCUUGCUCCGCCAGUGGUGGUGCCUGAGCUUGUGGCUAUUUGGGCAACCUGCAUGGGAGCACAGGAUGUAGGAACAAGGCAGCACACAAAGCAACUUGCAGACAUGUGAAGGAUGCCUUGUCGGACUGGCAGGUAGUGGAGAGUACGCGGGAGGUGUGGGGGAAGGGUGAAAACGCUGCCGAGAGCGGACUGUCAUUGCCGUCAGUCCUUGGACCUAGAGCCGAGCGAAGAAGGGAUGGCGAUAAGGAAAUGAGGAAGAUAGGAAGAGGGCAUAUGCCCGUGUGUUGGCCAUGACAGUGGACGAUUGUGGGUAGAUCCGAUGUCUACACAUGGAUCUGCUACUUGUGAUGGCAUGACAUGGUUGUUGUGGAGUGAAGUGCCAUCGUAGUCACGGCCAUGGCAUGGCAUGGCACUCUGCCAUCGUAGUCAUGGCCAUAUUUUUGUUGACCACGGGCCACACGACGAGCUUUGUAACGCUUAGGAGAACCACCAGUCUUAACAUUGUAGACCCACUUACAAGUGAUAGACAAGCACGCGGAGGAAGGGAAAUGAGAUCCCAUGUGUGGAUGCACUCACGAGCAGCAAUCUCUUAUGCCAUCGCAUGUUGCAGUUCGAGGUGAACAACACCAUCAUGAGCAUUCAUCUUGAGAAGAAUGGCGCCAGAAUAACCAUAGUAUACAAUAGGGGGAAGCGGGUGAGUGCAAAAGCCAUAGUAGGUUGAGCUGGAGGCGGUGCGUGGCCAAUAGAAGGAGGAUGUUAGUCAAGGGAGAUGGCGCAUCAGAAGAAUCCACAACAAGUGGACGACCAAUGUGGUAAAUAUAAGAGGACGAGGGGGAAUCACCAAAGAAGCCACAGGGGACAAGCGUGGUGAGGUUUCCUAAGGUAACAAAUGAGGUGGGGAAGCCACAUGUGACGAUGGCAUGGUGUCUACAAGAGUAGUAUGGGAAGACAUGAUGGGAUGGGUGGACGAGGGCAACACAUGAGUGAUAGUUGUAUCGGGAAAAGUGAGGAAAGGAAUAUCCUCAAUGGGAGGAUGGGCGUGGAUAGAAAAGGACGAGACUCGUCAAAAGUCACAUCCCGAGAAAUGCGUAUUCGACGACCGACAGAAUCCCAACAUUGAUAGCCGUUGUGCUCGUCAUUGUGAAGACACUCAACUGACUAGCAGUUAGUUUGGUGCGUUCGAGGGGGGGGGGAACGGGUUAUAUGAAAAUACGCUCCAAUCAAAGGAUCCAUGGAAAUAUACCCGACUGUACAAAAGCACCGGGCGAUGAAUAACCAGAAGCAAUAAGUAGGUGUCGAAGUUGUCCAAGCUCCUGCGCGGUGAAGGAUACCGCUGAAGUGGUCGACGUAGAAUCACCAAAAGAGGAGUGGCCGCCACCUCCACCUAUGUGAGCCCUAAGAGGAGGCGGUGUAGCACGACAAAUACCAGUGGUAGAAGUCGAUGGAGGAGACAACGUCAUAGGCACACAAACACCAACCGCGUGGGAGUGAUGUGCACCAACACUGGCUGUGUAGAGCGACCAUCACCAUCUAUAAAGGUCGCGAGAGGUGUCACUAUGGAGCCACCACCACUGCCUGUAAAAACAAUUGGGGGAGCAACCUCAUAGGUGGAGGAACACUGCACCAGCAAACGACACAUGUAUGAGGUGGGGUCAGUGUAGGUAACACCCUAAGAAAUCACCGGGCAACAAGGAAGAUACUAUGUCCAAUGAAGUCAUUGUACCUGUUUCUUUGUUCUACUCUUUUCUUUUAUAGAACAGUCUUAGAGGGCAGCAGAGCAUGGAAGAGCAGUGUAUAGGGCACGCACGGUGCCCUAGAGAAGCCAGUCGAUGGAACGGGUUGCCGGGGCUAAGGUUCCGCGGUGAGGUCCUGUGUGUAGCAAAAGGAGCGGAGACCGUGACCUGCAACAGCGGACGUCUCAAAUAUUGCCCCUCCUGGAGCUGCGGGGCGCUGGCCUCCCGGAGAUGGCGGUGAGGUGCUGACCUUCUGUACAUGGCGACGAGGCGCGACCUCCUGAAACUGCAGGUGACGACGGCCUAGGGUCUACAACAUUAGUAUGGGAAGACAUGGUGGGAUGGGUGGUGGAGGACAAUACAUGGGUGAGGUGUUAUUGGGAAAAGUAAGGAAAGAAAUUUAACUCUUACAAUAUGAUAGGGUCACUAGGUAGCCUCGUUGCUCCCGUGAAAUUAUUUAUUGAAGUUGGCCCGCGACAACUGUAGCUAGAAAAAAAAUCGGGAUGAAGCAACCCUCGCCUGGCCAUGAGCCCCACGGCCGACUCCACUCCUCUUUGCCUUGUUGCCCUCUCUCUCUCUCUCUCUCUCUCUCUCUCUCUCUCUCUCCUUGCAGUUUCUGGAAUUGGGAGCGGAAGAAGCGGCGAGCGUCUCGGAGGUGGCGGGCGGCAAUAGAAGUUCAUCUGACCUUCGUUCCUGUAGCAUGGUUCGAAUCAAUUAAAGACCUGAGAUUCAGUGGUGUAGAAGCUGCAGACAACCAUCGCCGGCGAGGCACAAGAGGUUUCCACGGUCAGAUCUACAUUGAGGCAAGGCCAUGUCAAAGAGAACACCACUAGUAGUAAGAUCAUAAGAUACUAAUGGGCUCCCUGUAAUCCCAAAGUGCACUGGCCAGUGGAUAGAUAUUUUUUACAAAAUCUUCUAGAGGCGCUUAAUUUUCUAUAUCGAAAAUGACUGCUGGUUCCAUCCAACCUGUAUGGGAAUGAUCAUUGAGUAGGCCAAAAAGUUAGAUAAUUUCCUGUGCUCAGAUUGUGCUAAAGAAAACGACGCAAAGAGUCCUACAAAUUCAUACCAGAGUUCACCAAGUUCUCAUUCUAAG